rnacentral:rRNA from 1 species
UUCCCUUAGUAAGUGCGACCGAACAGGGAAAAGUCCAGCGCAGAACCUCCCGGGCCACCCGGCCUGCGGCGGAAUGUUGCGUAAAGGGAAAGGUCGUAUUCAAGCCCUGCAACCACACGAACUCUAAGUAAGCCACGAAUAGGCUGUCCCAACUAACGGCGGGAAGAACUCCACGGAGGGUGUAAGACCCGUGUGGGCGUGUGUCAAUGUUGCAUGGGUUCGGCCUCUUCUCUGAGAGUCGCGUUGCUUGGGCAUGCAGCGCUAAGCAGGUCGUAAACUCGAUCUAAGACUAAAUAUUUCCACAAGACCGAUAGCAAACAAGUACCUUGAGGGAAAGUUGAAAAGCACUCUGAAGAGAGAGUCAAAAGACCGUGAAACCGUUCAGAGUAUAAGCCCAUGGCGCUUGGAAGGCUCCCGCAUGUUAAGCAAAACGCAUUGAUUCGUCUUAGGAUUCGUCUUUGUGCUUAGAUUGGUCCGCUGAAGUUGUUCGUUAGGUCGUGAGCGUUAACUCGUUUCUGGCCGUCACCCGGGAAGGCAGCCGCGUUCGAAUUUGUUUUCUUGCGUGCUCCUCUUGUAUAUGGAUGGACGUUCUAGUCAGUGGCUAUCGCUGCGGUACAAGCCCACCACAGUUCGUUGUGAGGUCACCCGCAGGCUCAAACUGUCGAUCGUGUGUUCGACCCUUGCCGCUAAGGACGUUACUGUGUUGGAGAGAGACAGGCAUUCUCGUCUUCUCUUUUCCAUCCUCUCCGAGGCAUGUGUGUCGGGCCAGGCGACGAACCGAGUAUAUCCUGGUAUGAUCCUCGUGCGACGAUCUGAUUCUGACCGAGUUCUAAUUGCAAAUAGCGUGCUCACGUGUCGAGCAGCAAAGCUACCGUUUGGUCCUCUGGGCGAUGACAUAGUGUCGACAAGAUCUCGGUGAUGCAAUCUAUGACACUCGCGUGGUGAUAAGUCCGGCACCAUCGGUCACGUCUCGAAACACGGGCCAAGGAGUAUAGCAUGUGUGCAAGUCUAAGGGUGUCACAAAACCCGCAGGCGUAGUGAAAGCAAAGCUGUGGCGAGUACGCUUCGGCACUCUCGUCAGCUAAGUGGCAGUUUACUGUUGCCUGGCUUAAGCCGAGCUGAUCCUGUUCAGUUGACUCAAUUGUCUCAAGACAGGCGCAGGCUCCGGGCUCACCUAACAACACUGGUUUGGGAUUUAUUUCGGGCUGUGUUGUGAGCACCGUGGAGCAUGCAUGCUAUAACCCGAAAGAUAGUGAACUAUGCCUGGCGAGGGCGAAGCCCCAGGAAACUGGGGUGGA